rnacentral:rRNA from 1 species
AUUGAACGCUGGCGGCAUACCUUACACAUGCAAGUCGAACGGUAACAGGUCUUCGGAUGCUGACGAGUGGCGAACGGGUGAGUAAUACAUCGGAACGUGCCCGAUCGUGGGGGAUAACGGAGCGAAAGCUUUGCUAAUACCGCAUACGAUCUACGGAUGAAAGCAGGGGACCGCAAGGCCUUGCGCGGACGGAGCGGCCGAUGGCAGAUUAGGUAGUUGGUGGGAUAAAAGCUUACCAAGCCGACGAUCUGUAGCUGGUCUGAGAGGACGACCAGCCACACUGGGACUGAGACACGGCCCAGACUCCUACGGGAGGCAGCAGUGGGGAAUUUUGGACAAUGGGCGAAAGCCUGAUCCAGCCAUGCCGCGUGCAGGAUGAAGGCCUUCGGGUUGUAAACUGCUUUUGUACGGAACGAAAAGACUCUUUCUAAUAAAGAGGGUCCAUGACGGUACCGUAAGAAUAAGCACCGGCUAACUACGUG